GACGAACGCUGGCGGUGUGCUUAACACAUGCAAGUGGUGCGACGAACCAGAGCUUGCUCUGGGGCAAAGCCGCGAACGGGUGAGUAACACGUGGGUAAUCUACCCCGAUGACUGGGACAACCCGAGGAAACUCGGGCUAAUACCGGAUGUGGUACGGAAACAUAAGUUUCUCUACUAAAGGUAGCUUCGGCUUCCGCAUUGGGAGGGGCCCGCGGCCCAUUAGCUAGUUGGUGGGGUCAAGGCCUACCAAGGCAACGAUGGGUAGCUGGUCUGAGAGGACGAUCAGCCACACUGGGACUGAGACACGGCCCAGACUCCUACGGGAGGCAGCAGUGGGGAAUCUUGCGCAAUGCGCGAAAGCGUGACGCAGCAACACCGCGUGAGGGAAGACGGCCUUAGGGUUGUAAACCUCUUUCAGAUGGGACGAAGGUGAUGCGGUGAAUAGCCGAU
rnacentral:rRNA from 1 species